UCUCGGUGUUGCAAUUCCAGUAGAGCCUCCUGGCCCUCCACCGUGAACUCAUACCAGGGAGAGGAAGAGAAAAGUGACUGAGGGA